rnacentral:rRNA from 1 species
AUUGAACGCUGGCGGCAGGCCUAACACAUGCAAGUCGAACGAGUGGCGGACGGGGGUGUAAUGUCUGGGAGACUGCCCGAUGGAGGGGGAUAACUACUGGAAACGGUAGCUAAUACCGCAUACCAUCGGAUGUGCCCAGAUGGGAUUAGCUUGUAGGUGAGGUAACGGCUCACCUAUGCGACGAUCCCUAGAUGGUCUGAGAGGAUGACCAGCCACACUGGAACUGAGACACGGUCCAGACUCCUACGGGAGGCAGCAGUGGGGAAUAUUGCACAAUGGGCGCAAGCCUGAUCCAGCCAUGCCGCGUGUGUGAAGAAGGUCUUCGGAUUGUAAAGCACUUUAAGUUGGGAGGCGUUACCAACAGAAUAAGCACCGGCUAACUUCGUGCCAGCAGCCGCGGUAAUUC